UACAGAGGGUGCAAACGUUGCUCGGAAUUACUGGGCGUAAAGCGCGUGUAGGCGGGUCGGCAAGUCGGGCGUGAAAUCCCUAGGCUCAACCUAGGAACUGCGCUCGAAACUGCCGGCCUUGAGUGACGGAGAGGAAAGCGGAAUUCCUGGUGUAGAGGUGAAAUUCGUAGAUAUCAGGAGGAACACCGGUGGCGAAGGCGGCUUUCUGGACGUCUACUGACGCUGAGACGCGAAAGCGUGGGGAGCAAACAGG
rnacentral:rRNA from 1 species